rnacentral:tRNA from 1 species
AGUUUUAUAGUCAAAUGUUUAUGAUAUUAAAUUGCAAAUUUAAAGUUGAAUUUUUAAUUCUAAGGCUU